GGAGAGGUGCCGGAGUGGUCGAACGGGGCGGUCUCGAAAACCGUUGUGCCCGCAAGGGUACCCAGGGUUCGAAUCCCUGUCUCUCCGCCA
rnacentral:tRNA from 3 species